GGUCUCGUGGUGUAGUGGUUCACAUCUGUCUGACACAUAGAAGGUCGGCGGUUCGAGCCCGUCAGAGACUA